rnacentral:rRNA from 1 species
UACCAGCAGCCCCGAGUUGGUCGGGACGUUUAUUGGGCCUAAAGGCAUCCGUGAGCCGGUUCUACAAGUCUUCCGUUAAAUCCCAACUGCUUAACAGGUGGGCUGCGGAAGAUACUAUUAGAGCUAGGAGGCGGGAGAGGCAAGCGGUACUCGAUGGGUAGGGGUAAAUCCGUUGAUCCAUUGAAGACCACCAGUGGCGAAGGCGGCUUGCCGA